GCCAAGAGAAGAGGCAGUGCAUGGCUGGUCCUGGUACAUUAGGAGCCCAAAAAGAGGUCUCAUGAAACAGACCCAGGCUGGGAGGCAGAGUUCCAGCUGAGUGUUGUCCAUGUCUCUGAGUGCCAUCCAGUCAUCGGUUCUGAGUGUGAGUAACUGUGGAGGGAAUUCAGCUGCUGCAGAGGAAGGAGCUGCCACAACUGGGACCUUGAGGCUGAGGCUUAGCCAGCCUGAAUGAUGGAGAUGCCACCCUGAUGACAUGCUUGGAAAGCCAGCACUGCAGCUUCUGUUGGCACAAUUCAACUGCCAGAUGGGACUCCCUACCAGGCUCUCCCCCAAGGGCACAGUAAUCUUUGGCAACUGUCUGGGCAUGGAAGAGGCAUGCUCACUAAUGGACAAGUUCAUCAAGCCCUCUGCUCUGCUCUUUGAUGUGUCUAAAUUCAGAACAUCCCCACACUGGCGCCUCAUGGAUAAGGUUUAAGGCAGGAAGGGUCCAGGUGGGCUGGAGUCCCUACAUUAAUCUGCAGCCCUCAAGUGGCCCUGCUUUCCAGAUGGGCAGGGUGAGGGGUAUGAGGCAGCAUUAAUGUGGAGCAGGAAAGGAGCCUUUGUGUCUCCUGGUGUGAUCAUGAGGCAGGUCGGAUUCAGGAAGACCAGCCUGUGGAACCUCAGGCUCUGGUGAGUUGCCAAGAAACUGAGCUCAAGUAGCCAGAUGACAAUUCACAUCUCCUGCUUGUUUCCAAAUUAACAUAGAAUCCUGUUUCCCUCCAGGCCAUCACUGUCUCAGUAUCUUACCCAGAACCCAGCCAACAUUCAAGAAAUGUGUGUUGAGUUGAAAUGUAUUAAGUGAGCUACCACUUGCUAAGAGAAAGCCCCACCCAACUUUUGGUAGAGGUCUGGGUUUGGAGCCUGAAGUUGUCUCAGCUCUGGGGAAGAAAGAAUGACAUAUCCUCUGUCUGGUAGGUUCUAAGACCAGCCCAGACUUUCCCAGGCACAAGCUCAGAGCCCUCAAACACAACCUCUGGUCUCUAGGCUGUGUGUCUCCAGGGCAGGCUAGAAGCAUCCCCCCUCCUCCCUGGAGGCUGAUCAGCGCCUGGGGAAAUCCUCUCUCUUGCCACCAAGCAGCAGGCUCCAGACUUGUCAAUCUUGGCUUUUCUGAUAAAUCAUUCACAAACUUUCAUUCCCACUGGUAUUUGCUAUUUGCUAAUUGAAUAAUUAGAUAUAAUUAAUAACAUCAUACAUUACCAUAAUUUUAACAUUAUAGGUGUCAAGAGG
rnacentral:lncRNA from 10 species